UUAAGCGACUAAGCGUACACGGUGGAUGCCCUGGCAGUCAGAGGCGAUGAAGGACGUGCUAAUCUGCGAUAAGCGUCGGUGAGGUGAUAUGAACCGUUAUAACCGGCGAUUUCCGAAUGGGGAAACCCAGUGUGUUUCGACACACUAUCAUUAACUGAAUCCAUAGGUUAAUGAGGCGAACCGGGGGAACUGAAACAUCUAAGUACCCCGAGGAAAAGAAAUCAACCGAGAUUCCCCCAGUAGCGGCGAGCGAACGGGGAGGAGCCCAGAGCCUGAAUCAGUGUGUGUGUUAGUGGAAGCGUCUGGAAAGGCGUGCGAUACAGGGUGACAGCCCCGUACACAAAAAUGCACAUAUUGUGAGCUCGAUGAGUAGGGCGGGACACGUGGUAUCCUGUCUGAAUAUGGGGGGACCAUCCUCCAAGGCUAAAUACUCCUGACUGACCGAUAGUGAACCAGUACCGUGAGGGAAAGGCGAAAAGAACCCCGGCGAGGGGAGUGAAAAAGAACCUGAAACCGUGUACGUACAAGCAGUGGGAGCCUCUUAAUGGGGUGACUGCGUACCUUUUGUAUAAUGGGUCAGCGACUUAUAUUCUGUAGCAAGGUUAACCGAAUAGGGGAGCCGAAGGGAAACCGAGUCUUAACUGGGCGUUAAGUUGCAGGGUAUAGACCCGAAACCCGGUGAUCUAGCCAUGGGCAGGUUGAAGGUUGGGUAACACUAACUGGAGGACCGAACCGACUAAUGUUGAAAAAUUAGCGGAUGACUUGUGGCUGGGGGGGAAAGGCCAAUCAAACCGGGAGAUAGCUGGUUCUCCCCGAAAGCUAUUUAGGUAGCGCCUCGUGAAUUCAUCUCCGGGGGUAGAGCACUGUUUCGGCAAGGGGGUCAUCCCGACUUACCAACCCGAUGCAAACUGCGAAUACCGGAGAAUGUUAUCACGGGAGACACACGGCGGGUGCUAACGUCCGUCGUGAAGAGGGAAACAACCCAGACCGCCAGCUAAGGUCCCAAAGUCAUGGUUAAGUGGGAAACGAUGUGGGAAGGCCCAGACAGCCAGGAUGUUGGCUUAGAAGCAGCCAUCAUUUAAAGAAAGCGUAAUAGCUCACUGGUCGAGUCGGCCUGCGCGGAAGAUGUAACGGGGCUAAACCAUGCACCGAAGCUGCGGCAGCGACACUAUGUGUUGUUGGGUAGGGGAGCGUUCUGUAAGCCUGUGAAGGUGGCCUGUGAGGGUUGCUGGAGGUAUCAGAAGUGCGAAUGCUGACAUAAGUAACGAUAAAGCGGGUGAAAAGCCCGCUCGCCGGAAGACCAAGGGUUCCUGUCCAACGUUAAUCGGGGCAGGGUGAGUCGACCCCUAAGGCGAGGCCGAAAGGCGUAGUCGAUGGGAAACAGGUUAAUAUUCCUGUACUUGGUGUUACUGCGAAGGGGGGACGGAGAAGGCUAUGUUGGCCGGGCGACGGUUGUCCCGGUUUAAGCGUGUAGGCUGGUUUUCCAGGCAAAUCCGGAAAACCAAGGCUGAGGCGUGAUGACGAGGCACUACGGUGCUGAAGUGACAAAUGCCCUGCUUCCAGGAAAAGCCUCUAAGCAUCAGGUAACAUCAAAUCGUACCCAAAACCGACACAGGUGGUCAGGUAGAGAAUACCAAGGCGCUUGAGAGAACUCGGGUGAAGGAACUAGGCAAAAUGGUGCCGUAACUUCGGGAGAAGGCACGCUGAUAUGUAGGUGAAGCGACUUGCUCGUGGAGCUGAAAUCAGUCGAAGAUACCAGCUGGCUGCAACUGUUUAUUAAAAACACAGCACUGUGCAAACACGAAAGUGGACGUAUACGGUGUGACGCCUGCCCGGUGCCGGAAGGUUAAUUGAUGGGGUUAGCGGCAACGCGAAGCUCUUGAUCGAAGCCCCGGUAAACGGCGGCCGUAACUAUAACGGUCCUAAGGUAGCGAAAUUCCUUGUCGGGUAAGUUCCGACCUGCACGAAUGGCGUAAUGAUGGCCAGGCUGUCUCCACCCGAGACUCAGUGAAAUUGAACUCGCUGUGAAGAUGCAGUGUACCCGCGGCAAGACGGAAAGACCCCGUGAACCUUUACUAUAGCUUGACACUGAACAUUGAGCCUUGAUGUGUAGGAUAGGUGGGAGGCUUUGAAGUGUGGACGCCAGUCUGCAUGGAGCCGACCUUGAAAUACCACCCUUUAAUGUUUGAUGUUCUAACGUUGGCCCGUAAUCCGGGUUGCGGACAGUGUCUGGUGGGUAGUUUGACUGGGGCGGUCUCCUCCUAAAGAGUAACGGAGGAGCACGAAGGUUGGCUAAUCCUGGUCGGACAUCAGGAGGUUAGUGCAAUGGCAUAAGCCAGCUUGACUGCGAGCGUGACGGCGCGAGCAGGUGCGAAAGCAGGUCAUAGUGAUCCGGUGGUUCUGAAUGGAAGGGCCAUCGCUCAACGGAUAAAAGGUACUCCGGGGAUAACAGGCUGAUACCGCCCAAGAGUUCAUAUCGACGGCGGUGUUUGGCACCUCGAUGUCGGCUCAUCACAUCCUGGGGCUGAAGUAGGUCCCAAGGGUAUGGCUGUUCGCCAUUUAAAGUGGUACGCGAGCUGGGUUUAGAACGUCGUGAGACAGUUCGGUCCCUAUCUGCCGUGGGCGCUGGAGAACUGAGGGGGGCUGCUCCUAGUACGAGAGGACCGGAGUGGACGCAUCACUGGUGUUCGGGUUGUCAUGCCAAUGGCACUGCCCGGUAGCUAAAUGCGGAAGAGAUAAGUGCUGAAAGCAUCUAAGCACGAAACUUGCCCCGAGAUGAGUUCUCCCUGACUCCUUGAGGGUCCUGAAGGAACGUUGAAGACGACGACGUUGAUAGGCCGGGUGUGUAAGCGCAGCGAUGCGUUGAGCUAACCGGUACUAAUGAACCGUGAGGCUUAACCUU
rnacentral:rRNA from 1 species